CCAAGGGCAUUCACACCCUGAUCCCUGGGACUUACGCAGACGGCCUGGAGAAGGAGUUACGAUUGCAUAUAGAAUCAACGCUGCUGAUCAGCUGACCAUAGAAUCAACGCUGCUGAUCAGCUGACCUUAAGACAGGGAGAUCAACCUAGAUUAUUGGGGGAGGUGGGGUUCAGCGUAGUCAUGGUGGAAACGGCAAGAAGAGCUUCAAGUGAUGCCACAUGAGGCCCCAACUCGCCUCUGCUGUGUGGCAGGGGCUGCAGGCCAAGGGCGUGGGCAGCCCGUAGGAGCCGGAGAAGGCAAGGAAAGCCUUUUCCUGCCCAGCGCCUCCUGAAAGGAACGCAGUCCUGCCACACCUUGAUUUUGCCUCAGUGACUCUCCCGUCAGACUUCUGACCCACAGGGCUGUAAUCCGAUGCAUUUACGGUAAGCCAGAGAAGAGGAUAGAAGAAUCUCUCUACCCCGCUUCUUGGAAAACUCAAGGCUUCAUUCACAUGUGCUGCCCGGAUGCUCCCGAUGAGUGGGCUUUUAUUUUGCUGGCUUCCUGAAUAAGGGCCCCUGAGCUAUGAGAAAUGCAUAGGUGAUGAAAUCCUGGAGCACUUCUCUCCAAGCCAAUCUCUACGGAGAAUGUGGAAAACAGCUCUCAAACUACGUACAACGAUCUCGAGUAGCUCACGCCAUAUACUCUGAGGGACAAAACACCACUGCCUGGUGAGAAUAAGGCCAGGAUGCAGGGUGUUUCGUUCCAUGAAUCCUGGGAGAAUUACAAAGAUGAAAUGAACGGGAAACCUUUCCAGAAACUUAUUUAAAAUGAUGCAUUGAUGUAUUUCGCCAAUUUUAAGAUCCAGUUCUUUCCCAUCUCUGAAAACGGAAGGCAUCUUUAAAAAAUGAUGUCUUACGGGCGGCAGUUGUGACUUAGUGGCCAUUGCUUUAAUUUCCCGUAUGCUUCCUUUUUAUGUACGCCCAAGAGGGAACGUGACGGAAUCUACACCCAAAUAAGGCUAAAAGUCAUUUCGGUGUAAAUGUUAAUUCUGUGAUAAAAAAGCAUCGUAUCAUAGUUUAACUGGCAGCACUUGUCUCUGUUUCCUGCAUAUAUAGGAAUUAAAGUAAAAUAUAUUAUUUAAAAUAGUAUUUGUAAUAUUUAUAAAAUAAAUAUAUUUUAAUUCCAA